GUCGUCAGCGCAGACUGCUGGAUAUCUGCUGGAAACCACAGCUUCAGCUCCACGAUAUAUUCCUUCCCCAGCAUUAUGCGAGUGAAGAGGACAAUCUUUACAACCAGCAGAAGAAUUUAAGAGUGGAACAGGAGGAACAAGAACCUCUACAGAUUAAAGAGGAGCAGGAGGAACGAGAACCUCUACAGAUUACAGAGGUACUGGAGGAACAAAAAUCUCUACAGAAUAAAGAGAAACAGGAGGAACAAGAACCUCUACAGAUUAAAGAGGAGCAGGAGGAACAAGAACCUCUACAGAUUAAAGAGGUACUGGAGGAACAAAAAUCUCUACAGAAUAAAGAGAAACAGGAGGAAUCAGAACCUCUGCAGAUUAAAGAUGAUAAUGAGGAACAAGAACCUACAAAGAUUAAAGAAGAAAAACAGGAAGAACCUCAACAGUUCAGAAAUCAUAGCCUCAAAUCUACGCUCAAAAGAGACAUGAAAAUUCACACAGGAAAGAAGCCUUUUUUGUGUAAAGAAUGUAAUAAAGGUUUUAGUCGUGUAUCUUUUUUUAAAAUACACAUGACAAUUCACACAGGAGAGAAGCCCUUUUUUUGUAAAGAAUGUAAUAAAGAUUUUAGUCUUAUAUCUCUUUAUAAAAGACACAUGAAAAUUCACAGAGGAGAAAAGCCUUUUUUGUGUACAGAAUGUAAUAAAUGUUUUAGUAAAGAAUCUCUUCUCAAAACACACAUGAGAUCUCAUACAGGAGAGAAGCCUUUUACGUGUAAAGUAUGUGACAGAAGUUUUAGUAGAGAAUGUAAUCUCAAAAGACACAUGGGAACUCAUACAGGAGAGAAGCCUUUUUUGUGUAAAGAAUGUGACAGAAGUUAUAGUCGUGUAUCUCAUCUCAAAACGCACAUGAUGAUUCAUACAGGAGAAAAGCCUUUUUUGUGCAAGGAAUGUGACAAAAGCUUUAGUUGCGUAAGUUCUCUCAAAAUACACAUGAUGAUUCAUACAGGAGAAAAGCCUUUUUUGUGCAAGGAAUGUGACAAAAGCUUUAGUCGCGCAAGUUCUCUCAAAAUACACAUAAAAACUCAUACAGGAAAAAAGCCUUUUUUUUUGUAAAAAAUGUGAUAAAAGUUUUAGCUGUGUAUCUAAUCUAAUCUAGCCGAACACACUAAUUCCUUAUCUAGACAAAGAAAUAAUUAAAAAAUUCAGUAACAAAAUUGAAUUAACAUGUUUAUAACUCCACAGGGCCCACAAUAAUCUGUCAAUGAACUCCAAACACUUUCCAAGACCUCACUGAGUCUUUAAAUGGUCUCAGUCUCAGUCAGUAGAAUAAAAUAGAUUCUAAAUCUCUUUUACACAACUGUCUACACACAGCCUGCGUCGAGAUUCUGCUUUUAAUUUCCAGUAAUACUUGGAUCAUUCUCACUCUACUAAAGGAACCUAAAUCUGUUUAUCUCUAAACAUCAGUUACUGUGUUUGAUCAACUAUCAAAUUCCUCUGACCUGAACCCAAUAAAAUAUCUGAACUGUGAAGAGGAAGAUGAGACAGCAGAGCCAACAAUGAAGAUGAGCUGAAGUCAGCUAUCAAAUCAACCUGAGCUUUCAUUCCAUGUACACAGAGCCACAGGCGGAUGGCCUCCAUACCACAUUGAUGCAGUCAUUCAAUGAAAAUGAGGAACAAGUGAUUAUUGAAUGGAGAGAAAAGAACAGUUUUCUGAAUCUGUCAUGUGCUGAAAACAUUCUUUUAGAUUAUUAUGAUAUAUGAUAUUCUCAUUUUCUGAGACAAUAUUUUUAGGUGUUUAUCAUCUAUAAGCCACUAUGAUCACAUUGCUCAAAAUAAAGGAUUGAUGCAUUUAUUUUUGUAAAGAUUCUAUAAUGAGUUUCACUAAUUGAAUUUAUAAAAAAAUAUUUAACUUGUUCAUGAAAUGCAUUGUUUUAGACAUACCACUGAAUAGAAAUGUAUUGUUUUAAAUUCUGAAUGUCAGAAAAUGUUUGAUGAUGUUCACUUUUUGUUAGAUUAUUUUUAUUAGUAGAUUUUUGUAUUUACAAUGUUGCUCAAGUCUGUGUCACCAUGACAACACUAAAGAUGUUUUUUUACACAUCUCUAAUGCUUUUUACGUGAUUGUUUUCUGUAUAAAAUAAUUCCAGUUUAUAUUUUGUUGAGUCAUGUUAGUAAAUAACAGUUUAGUG